ensembl:lncRNA
CGAUGUCUUUCAUNAAUUGUAUUUGUUUGACAAUAUUUAUGAGAAAACUGUGCAUAAUUUUCAAGUUACUGUCAUAAAACCAAAAGCAUGAUUUCGGGGUGAAAUAUGAGCAUGACGUUUCUUCAAGAAACACAAACGUGUGAGUCUGAAUAAAUGUGUCAUAAUCUGUGAUGUUUCUAAACGUAUGAAUGUUGGAGAAAAGUUUAUUUCACUGGAUAUCUUUAUAUAUCUACUCAUAAAUGUAGAUGUGAAGUGAGGCAUAUAAAGGGUUGUGUCUGAGUGACAGUGAAUACAGUUCAAACCCCGCGCUGCGUCUGAUUGGUGUUUGUGUUGUCCGAGUGUUUAUAGUUCGCCUUCAUUGACGUAGAAACUCUGAAUGAAAGCCCUCGCGCGUCUCUGACGUACCGGAUCAUGUGUCGGUUACCGUAGACUUCCCGAGCUAGACUUUUCCCUCCGUCCUCGUCUUCGCUCCGGUGUGGAUUCUUCCUCCCGGCGGCUCGCGACGCGUUCUCAGAAGCGGUCUGCUGAGACGACGGUGAGAUGUUGGAUGGAGACUGGAGCUCUUCGUCCCCGUCCAGGAAGUUCACAAACCCACAGCGUUCGAAGGCGAGUCAAUAUUGAGUUUGGCUGUGGACAGAAUUCCUGAGCUGGAAUCAAUCUGAUUGGCUGAGCGGGUGGGGGGGCGGGGCUCAGCACUGGUCUCUCAUUGGCUGUGACUGGUGACUGUCACCUUUACACUCGUUCCUCACAGUGAGACAGAAACUCAGUGUGGAAUCAGAGCUGUGUGUGAUUCUGUAGAAAAAGACAAACGACUGGAAGAGAUUGUGCUGAUGCAGGGCGGAGGAAUUUCAAUAAAAAUCCCUCUCUCCAAAAUAUUCUUUAUUCA